rnacentral:misc_RNA from 1 species
GAAAUGCGAUAAGUAGUGUGAAUUGCAGAAUUCAGUGAAUCAUCGAAUCUUUGAACGCACAUUGCGUCCCUUGGUAUUCCAUGGGGCAUGCCUGUUCGAGCGUCAUUUGUACCCUCAAGCUCUGCUUGGUGUUGGGUGUUUGUCCCCGUCUCCGCGCGUGGACUCGCCCCAAAGUGAUUGGCAGCCGGCGUACUGGUCCCGGAGCGCAGCACAUGUCGCGCAAACGAGUGCCUUGGUACGGCGGCGUCCAUAAGCCCCUCUCUCACGCUCUUGACCUCGGAUCAGGUAGGGAUACCCGCUGAACUUAAGC